CAAAGCGGAGAAACACGAAAAGAACCGAACAAUAACGAAACAUAUCGAAUUUAAGACUGCGGCUGCGUGGCUUUCAUUUUGUCUACACAACACCUAAGAUUAUUCAGCGACUCUUCGUCUCCGUUUUCUAAUCGAUUCAUAUCAGAAUAUCAAGACAUAAUGUACGAGUCAUAAAAUGUUUGAGACAUAAAAAGGAUUUCGCAGAGCCACAUCACCAAACAUCCCGGAAGCAGAAACACAGCGCUGUGAUUGGUCUGCGCAAGGGAGUGUCUUCAAACUACAAGUGGCACUGAGUCCCGCAGAACUGUACACAAGGGAACUGUGAAAAAAGUUCUAAACGUACAAUCGUGCAAACCAAAAUAAAGUAGACAUGUCUGCUUGUAGAAAAUAAUAGGAACCGAUUGUCACUAUUAUUUUCUGUUGUGAAUUCAACAAUGGUCCGAAACAGGAGUAGAGGACAUGAUUUAAGAGUAAACGCAAUAGUUAAUCAUGGAAGGCAGUUAGGACGCAGUCUCCUUAUGCUGGUACACUAUAUUACAGUGUUUGUAAGUUUUGCAUCCCACUCUGUGAACUGUUUUGUGGGAGUGUUCAAGUGGACAUCAAUGUUUGCCAGAUACACAGUGGCAGUAUUUGAAUCCAUUCAUAGAAGCUUGGAUUGGUGGACCAGAAGACGCAGAAGGGAAGCUAUAAAGAAGAUAGUCUCCAGCAGUGACACUGAGUUGGAGUGAAGAAGAAUAUUAAGAUGCUAUGGAUUCAAAGAAGAUGUUCCUGGCAAACAAUCUGUUUUAAAAUAAACUUACCUUAGACCUUAAAAGGAGUCUACAAAAAAAGACCAAUAUCCUACAUUCAUACGAUCAGUCCAUGACAUUUCUUACAAAACUGCAGAACACUGUAGUACAGAAUCUGUGAAUCCAGUGAUUCUGAUUCAUUACAGUCUUGAGUUUUUGGUCAUUUCAAAGGGCUCAAAUCAAGCCCUGAUGGUUAAAGGUUCUGUUUUGAGUCAAAACCGUUGAAUUGCAAUUCCAACCACACCUGUUUUUCAGGUUCAACACAGCAUUGUUCAGAUGUCGUAACUGUUAUGAUAACUUGCAAAUUGUAUUUAGUUUUACCUCACAAUCAGGCUUUUGUCCAAGGAAACACUUGUUUAACAAUUUCACAUCCCCCCAAUUCAGUUUAGCUGCCAGGUCUGGUCAAUGUGAAAAAAAUUAUCUUUCAGGAGGAAAGCCUUUUUGGAGGAUCUAUUGACAGAAAUGAGAUAUAAUAUACAUAACUAUGUCUUCAGAGGUGUAUAAAGAGCUUACACAAUGAAGCGUUAUGUUGUUAUUACCUUAGAAUGAGCUAUUUCUAUCUACUGUACAUACACUUCUAUUAUAUGCAGGUCCCCUUGGAUAUAAUUCGCCAUGUUCUCUCAGCCGCCGUAGUGUUUCGAACGGGAGGGGUGGAGUGAGAGGUCGGUUGCAAUUCGCAACCUUGCCGCUAGAUUUCACUGACUGGACCUUUAAUGGCUUUAAUUCAAAAUAGUUAAAUAGAUGUCUUUGAAGUGAUCACAAUGGAUACUAUUCAACUAUAUCUCAGUGCAACUAGCAAAAUACUAUGAAACAACAGAAACUUUUUGGAACGUUUGGUUUGCUUAUGGAUUUGGCAGAAUAUUUAAUGAGUGCAGCUAUAACAUGAGCUUAUUAACUGUAUUAAAUGGUUUUAUUAUUCAAUUAUGAGUAGAUCUUUUAAGUCAGUACUUCAUCUGAGGCAGCUUUGAAUUUUGUUCGUCAUAAUAUCAAAAACAAAACAAAACUGACACUUAAGAAGAAAUGGAAAAAAAACACAUUGCAUUUCUUCAAGAAUUAAAUGCUGUGUUGUUAAAGUUGACAAGCUCUUUUUAAUACCUUUUUAUUGGUUAAAUAUUUGCAAAACCCACAGCCGAACAUGAAGGGUGACCGAUAAUGAUUUAUAAAAAAAAUCAUGAAAAUGAAGAUGCAAGGUUUCAGUCCAACAGUGACGAUUUGUAGCGCAAACACGGACUGCAUUCAAAAAAAAAGUUUUAGUCUAACUUUAAUUCUGACUUUUUAUACUUUCUUGUGACUUUUCCUGUUGCAUUCCAUACAACCUCCAUAUAGAUGCAUUUAAUUCCUGUUAUUAACUGUGAUAAAACUAUUAGAAGUGUCUACUGACCAGUGUAUUAUAUCUGUGGUAUGUCAUAUUUGACAAUCAAAGGGUAUCGAUGUAAAACAUGUACCAGUUUGUGAAAACUUUGAAAUUGAAACAUUUUUAUUUUUUAUAUUCAUUUUUUUAUAUCCUCACGUAUUGUGUUUAAUCCUUUAAUGCCAAAAUAAUGGACAGGUAUUAUUGUAUUGUAUAUCAGUUGAAACUAUGUCACCAUAGCACCAUAUUACAAUAGCGGAUACAUUUUCAAAUAAACAUUUGCAAAACACAAAA